rnacentral:rRNA from 1 species
GACGAACGCUGGCGGCGUGCUUAACACAUGCCAGUCGAACGGAAAGGCCCUGCUUUUGUGGGGUGCUCGAGUGGCGAACGGGUGAGUAACACGUGAGUAACCUGCCCUUGACUUUGGGAUAACUUCAGGAAACUGGGGCUAAUACCGGAUAGGAGCUCCUGCUGCAUGGUGGGGGUUGGAAAGUUUCGGCGGUUGGGGAUGGACUCGCGGCUUAUCAGCUUGUUGGUGGGGUAGUGGCUUACCAAGGCUUUGACGGGUAGCCGGCCUGAGAGGGUGACCGGCAACAUGGGGAAUGAGACAGGGCCAGGACUCCGAAGGGGGCAGGAAGGGGGAAAUAUGAAAAAAGGGGGGGAGGCCUGAGGCAGAACCCCCGGGGGGGGGAGACCGGCCUGCGGGUGGAAACCCGGUUCCGCCGGUGAAGAAGGGGGAGGAAGGGAAGGGGAUAAAAAAGAACCGACAAACUAGGGC